UACGUAGGUGGCAAGCGUUGUCCGGAUUUACUGGGCGUAAAGGGCGUGCAGGCGGUCUGUUAAGUCUAGGGUGAAAGCUCCCGGCUCAACUGGGAGAGGUCCUUGGAUACUGGCGGACUUGAGGGAGGCAGAGGAAAGUGGAAUUCCCGGUGUAGUGGUGAUAUGCGUAGAUAUCGUAAGGAAGACCAGUGGCGAAGGCGGGUCUCUGGACAGUUCCUGACGCUGAGGCACGAAGGUCAGGGGAGCAAACGGG
rnacentral:rRNA from 1 species